rnacentral:rRNA from 1 species
AUGAACGCUGGCGGCGUGCCUCAUACAUUCAAGUCGCGCGAACAGACGAGUAUCUUUCUCCUCUUACGUUAUCGGCGGACUGUUGAGUAACACUUUGAUAACCUACCUAUAAUACUGUGAUAACUUCGGUAAACCGGAGCUAAUACCUGAUAAUAUAUUUAACCGCUUGUUUCUAUAGUUAAAUUCGGUUUUUCUUUCACUUAUUUAUUUAUCCGCGCCUCAUUAGCUAGUUGGUAAGGUAACGUCUUACCAAUGCAACGAUGCGUAGCCGACCUGAGAGGGUGAUCGGCCACACUGGAACUGAGACAGGGACCAGAAGACUACGGGAGGCAGCAGAAGGGAAUAGUCCGCAAGGGGGGAAAGCAUGACGGAGAAAGGCCGAGUGAGUGAUGAAGGACUUAGGAUCGUAAAACUCUGUUAUUAGGGAAGAAAAAAAGUGUAAGAAAAUAUGAACGUAAUGACGGUAACUAAUAAGAAAGCAACGGCUAACUACGUG